CGUGGCCUCGGGGGGCAGCAGUAGGGAAUAUUGCUCAAUGGGGGAAACCCUGAAGCAGCAACGCCGCGUGGAGGAUGAAGGUUUUAGGAUUGUAAACUCCUUUUGUGAGAGAAGAUAAUGACGGUAUCUCACGAAUAAGCACCGGCUAACUCCGUGCCAGCAGCCGCGGUAAUACGGAGGGUGCAAGCGUUACUCGGAAUCUCUGGGCGUAAAGAGUGCGCAGGCGGGCUUGUAAGUCAGAUGUGAAAUCCUGUAGCUUAACCACAGAACUGCAUUUGAAACUAUGAGUCUAGAGUGUGGGGGAG
rnacentral:rRNA from 1 species